CCUACGGGUGGCAGCAGUGGGGGAUAUUGCACAAUGGGGGGAACCCUGAUGCAGCGACGCCGCGUGGGUGAAGAAGCGCCUCGGCGCGUAAAGCCCUGUCAGCAGUGAAGAAAAUGACGGUACCUGAAGAAGAAGCCCCGGCUAACUACGUGCCAGCAGCCGCGGUAAUACGUAGGGGGCAAGCGUUAUCCGGAUUUACUGGGGGUAAAGGGCGUGUAGGCGGGAAAGCAAGUCAGAUGUGAAAACCAUGGGCUUAACCUUUGGCCCGCCGUUGAAACUGUUGUUCUUGAGUGGGCGAGAGGUAGGCGGAAUGCGUGGUGUAGCGGUGAAAUGCAUAGAUAUCACGCAGAACUCCGAUUGCGAAGGCAGUAUACCGGAGCCCAACUGACGCUGAAGCGCGAAAGCGUGGGUAUCGAACAGGAUUAGAUACCCGAGUAGUC
rnacentral:rRNA from 1 species